rnacentral:rRNA from 1 species
GGGAAGAUGUCACGGGCGCACGGCGGAUGCCUUGGCGCAGGGAGCCGACGAAGGGCGCGGCAAGCCGCGAUAGUCCCCGGGGAGGCGCACACGGCCUUCGAUCCGGGGGUGCCCGAAUGGGAGAACCCGGCGGCUGGAGAGCCGCCAUCCCCCUCCUGAACGCAUAGGGAGGGGGAGGGGAACCGGGGGAACUGAAACAUCUAAGUACCCCGAGGAGGAGAAAUCAAUCACGAGAUCCCCCGAGUAGCGGCGAGCGAAAGGGGGCGACGGCCAAACCGGCGAGCGCACGCGGCCUGAGGGCUUCGCGCCGCCGGGGUUGUAGGGCCGCCCGCCCGGGAGCCUCAGCUCCCGGCGGGGAAGUCGCGCGGGCGGCGGAACGGCAUGGGAAGGCCGGCCGCAGAGGGUUAGGGCCCCGUACGCCCACCCGCAGCGACUCCCCGGUGGCGGUCCCUGAGUAGGGCCGGGCACGUGAAACCCGGUCCGAACCUGGGUGGACCACCAUCCAAGCCUGAACACUACCCUGCGACCGAUAGUGGACCAGUACCGUGAGGGAAAGGUGAAAAGCACCCCGGGAGGGGAGUGAAACAGCACCUGAAACCGUGCGCCCACGAGCAGUCGGAGCACCGAUAGGUGUGACGGCGUGCCUUUUGUAGAAUGAGCCAGCGAGUCAGACGCGCGCGGCGAGGUUAAGCUUGGAAGCGAGCCGCAGAGAAGUCGAGUCCGAACAGGGCGUCGAGUCGCGCGCGCUGGACGCGAAGCCGGGUGAGCUAUCCCUGGGCAGGCUGAAGCGGGGGUAAGACCCCGUGGAGGGCCGAACGGCAGUACGUUGAAAAGUGCUCCGAUGACCUGGGGAUAGGGGUGAAAGGCCAAUCAAACCCGGAGAUAUCUCGUUCUCCCCGAAAUAGCUUUAGGGCUAGCGUCGGCCGUUCUCCGGCGGAGGUAGAGCACCGGACGGGUGAGGGGGCUUCGCCGCCUACCGAUCCCGACCGAACUCCGAAUGCCGCCGGAUCAGAGGCCGGCAGUCAGAGCAUGUGGGCUAAGCUGUGUGCUCGAGAGGGAAACAGCCCAGACCGCCCGCCAAGGCCCCCAAGUCCGUGCCGAGUGGCAAAGGAUGUGCGUCCGCCCAGACAGCCAGGAGGUUGGCUUAGAAGCAGCCACCCCUUCAAAGAGUGCGUAACAGCUCACUGGCCGAGUGGACAUGCGCCGACAAUACACGGGGCUAAGCACGGCGCCGAAGCGGCGGAUAUGUUUUUACAUAUGGUAGGGGAGCGUCCCGCGGGGGGCGAAGCCGGAGGGCGACCGACGGUGGACCGCGCGGGAGCGAGGAUGCUGGCAUGAGUAGCGAGAGUGGAGAGGGUAACUCCACCGCCGUGAACCCGAGGUUUCCUGGGCGAGGCUAAUCCCCCCAGGGUCAGUCGGGGGCUAAGGCGAGGCCGGAAGGCGUAGCCGAAGCGCAGCAGGCAGACAUUCCUGCACCGCGCACGCGGCGCUAUGACCGAUGCGGCGACGGAUGGGGGUGGCUCGGCCGGGUUCUGGACGUCCCGGUGAUGGAGCGCGGCCCGUCGGGGAGGGAAGUCCCCCCGGCACGAGGGUUAGGCUCCGGACGAAGCGACUGAGCGAAGCGAGUGAGCCCGUGGUCCCUAGAAAAACCGCUAGGCAGGCGCGUGCGCGCCCGUACCGCAAACCGACACAGGUGGGUGGGUAGAACAUACCGAGGCGAUCGGGUCAACCGUGGUCAAGGAACUCGGCACAAUGGCCCCGUAACCUAGGGAGAAGGGGUGCCGGCGCGUAGGUGGAGGGACUCGCUCCCCGAGCCGAGGCCGGCCGCAGUGAAGAGGCCCAAGCGACUGUUUACCAAAAACACAGGACUCUGCAGAAGCCGCAAGGCGACGUAUAGGGUCUGACGCCUGCCCGGUGCCGGAAGGUCACGCGGAGGGGUCAGCCGCAAGGCGAAGCUCCGAAGCCAAGCCCCGGUAAACGGCGGCCGUAACUAUAACGGUCCUAAGGUAGCGAAAUUCCUUGUCGGGUAAGUUCCGACCUGCACGAAAGGCGCAACGACUUGGGCGCUGUCUCGACCACGGACCCGGUGAAAUUGCACUGGUCGUGAAGAUGCGACCUACCCGCGGAAGGACGGAAAGACCCCGUGAACCUUCACUGCAGCUUGGCAUUGGCCGCUGCUCGGGAGCGUAGAGGAUAGGCGGGAGGCUUCGAAGCCGGGGCGCCAGCCCCGGUGGAGCCGACCUUGGAAUACCGCCCCCUCCCGUGCGGCGUCCUAACCCCCGGCCGCGAUCCGGCGGGGGGACCGUGCCAGGUGGGCAGUUUGACUGGGGCGGUCGCCUCCUAAAGGGUAACGGAGGCGCGCGAAGGUUGGCUCGGGGCGGUCGGCAACCGCCCUCACAGAGUGCAAGAGCGCAAGCCAGCUUGACUGCGAGUCCUACAAGACGAGCAGGUGCGAAAGCAGGCUCUAGUGAUCCGGCGGCCCCACGUGGGAGGGCCGUCGCUCAACGGAUAAAAGGUACUCCGGGGAUAACAGGCUGAUCUUGCCCAAGAGUCCACAUCGACGGCAAGGUUUGGCACCUCGAUGUCGGCUCAUCGCAUCCUGGGGCCGGAGCAGGUCCCAAGGGUACGGCUGUUCGCCGUUUAAAGCGGUACGCGAGCUGGGUUCAGAACGUCGUGAGACAGUUCGGUCCCUAUCCUCCGUGGGCGCAGGAGACUUGAUGGAGGCUGCCCCUAGUACGAGAGGACCGGGGUGGACGCACCUCCGGUGAACCGGUUGUCGACCAACGGCACGGCCGGGUAGCCGCGUGCGGCGCGGAUAACCGCUGAAGGCAUCUAAGCGGGAAGCCGUUCCAGAGAUUGGGUCUCCCUUCGGUAAGGGCACCGGUAGACCACCGGUUCGAUAGGCCGCAGGUGCAAGGUCGGCGACGGCCUCAGCCGAGCGGUACUAAUCGCCCGAGCUCUUCACCCGC